GCCUCCAGGAAUUUGGAAAUAGGAAUGAUCUUCUUUUCUCAGACAACAGUUGGAUUAUUGAGGAAUUUUUUUUUUGCCACUUUGUUAUACCGGGUGGAUAUUAAAGUCCACAGAUUUGAUUCUCAAGCACCUGGCUAUAGCCAACAUCUUGGUCAUAUUCUCCAAAGCAGCUUCACAGACAAUGACUUCUUUUAAUUUCAAGCAUUUCCUCAGUGAUAUUGCAUGCAAACAUGUUUUCUAUGUUCACAGAGUGGGCAGAGGUGUGUGCUUUGCCACCACCUCCCUCUUGAGUAUCUUCCAGCCAUCAUUGUCAGCCCCAUGAACUCCAGGUGGGCACAGUUGAAACUACAAACCCCCAAAUAUAUUGGGUCCCCCAACAUCUUGUCCUGGAUUGGAAAUACACUGAUAAAUACCAUUUUUUCUAUGCAUGUGAUUGGCAAAUCGAACAGCAAAAACAAUUCAAAGAAAAAAGAUUUAAGAUACUGUUCUUCAUUAGAUAAUAACAGAAUUACC
rnacentral:lncRNA from 1 species